rnacentral:misc_RNA from 1 species
CCUUGGCCUGAAGCCUUCUUUCGCAAGCUGCUCGGCGGCUUCUAGCAUCGAAAAAAGAUUGCCCUUGUCAUCCCAAGAGCCGCGGCCCCAGAUGAAGCCGUCUUUCACCUCGCCGCUGAACGGCGGCACCUGCCAGUCGCCGUCCGUGCCGGGCGCGAUCGGCACCACGUCCUGAUGCGCCAGCAGCGCGAUCGGCGCGGCCUUCGGAUCGCGGCCCUCCCAUGUGUAGAGCAGGCUGUAAUUGGCGACGAUCUCGCGUUUGGCGGCGGCAUGAAACGCCGGAAAACU